GCGGGGGUGCCCGAGUUUGGUCGAAGGGGCCGGACUUAAGAUCUCAAGGUGGAUAGGCCAUCCGGUGGCCGUAGGGCCUUCGUGGGUUCGAAACCCACCCCCCGCA
rnacentral:tRNA from 1 species